rnacentral:lncRNA from 1 species
GAGUUAACUGAACUCUACCUCUUGGGCCAAGGGUUGUGUGUCAGAUUUGAUUUUAACUUAAAUGGUUCCCUCAUCCCUUUUAUUAGCAUCUAAUUGGAUUAGCAUAUACUUUUCUGGAAAACGUGCCCUCCCACGCUGCAUUAAUAUGCGUCAAGUAUGUAAUUCCAACUGUGUAAGAAGUAAAGGAGAGAUUGAGGCUUUAUUGAGGCCUCACAGUCAUUGUCCAGUGCAGUGGUGUACUUGUGUCUUUCAGCAGUGGCAGAUACCAGGAAGUGAAUCAGCUGGAGCUGUCCAAGGUACAGACCAUGUGCGAUUUCAGAAAAGAUGCAAUCAAAAUCUGCUCUUUGAAGUCCCUGGAUUGUUGUAUCUCUGGGUUUGCUGCUCCCAGUAUCAAACCCAGACCGGUACACCUACCAUUGAACUGCAUGGACCAACAGCUGCUACUGCAUGACAAAGGGAUGAAAAUGCUGUACCUAUCAUUGGCGAUAUUGACAGAGUAUGUUUCCAGUGCUUCAGGACUGAUGUUUCCUAGACCUGAAACAGCGGCAUUAGAAAACCUGUUCACCACUGACCAUGGAGCAGCAAGACAAACUGCAGAGUGUGCUGCUGAAAACCACAACUACCGCUUUAAGUAAUAAGGACAUGAGGUUUUGGAAGAGAAUUGUGAUGACAUAGCAUUUUUCCUUCAAGAAAUGUUACAUAAGAAGCUAAUUUUGGUUUCCUUAGCUGAUUUUAUUUGUUUAUAAUGAAAGCCAUCCUAAAUGCAGUCAGUUCUGAUUAGGACUUGUAAUACUCAUUUACAGACACUCAAUUUGCUCUAUUCCUAUAGUAAGAUAGGACCUUCGCAUGUAGCACUGGUGAAUCGUUCACAAGAAAUAUACCCCGGCAAGUUUGUUUUCAGAAUUUUUUUUUUUUACUGCAGCAAGUCCUAACAUUAUCAGUAUUUCAAAACAUUCAAAGCAAAGGACCAAGGUUAAAAGAUGAAAAGUUAAUAUAAGCAGAAAGAAUUUGAUUUCCAAGUUACACACAGUAUGAAUAUGCAUUUUCAUGGGAAACUAUGAUUUAAACUCUUGUGAACAUAAAUAUAACUCUGAAAUAUCAAUUAAAGCGUUUAUGGGGCACUGGCUCCACUCUGGACAAGUGUAAUCCUUGUCAUUAAAAGGAAGACAAACACUCUGAAGCCUUCCCCAGAAGUUACACAAAAUAACAAGCCCCUCACUAAUGUGGGGCUAUGCUCUGUAUAGUUCAGCAGCUCUGAACAAUACAAUUGGACGUAUAUCAACAUAUCCAGCUGCAAGGAUCAGCAGGACACACCCUGUGGAUCCAAGAGCAGUAAUCCAGGGGAUGGCAUCAACUUUUGCCUAAAGCUCAGAUAAACUAUUUACUAGUCAGUAAUGAGCAACUAAAACUGCUUGGUUUUUAAAAUGUGUGUGCUUGCCAAGUGGGUAACUUACCUCACUCAAUGCAUCUUUGUACAAGCU